rnacentral:Y_RNA from 12 species
GGCUGGUCCGAUGGUAGUGGGUUAUCAGAACUUAUUAACAUUAGUGUCACUAAAGUUGGUAUACCACCCCCCACUGCUAAAUUUGACUGGCUUUU